AUGGGUCCCUGGUCCCUGGUGGUGGGCGCUUCCUUCUCCGGGAAGAGUAGCGGAUCAUGGGUCCCUGGUCUCUGGUGGUGGGCGCUUCCUUCUCCGGGGAGAGCAGGGGAUCUUGGGUCCCUGGCGGUGGGUGCUUCCUUCUCCAGGGAGAGCAGGGAUCUUGGGUCCCUUGGCGGCUGGCGCUUCCUUCACAGGUUUGCUGUUGUUUCUAGGCCUUUCUUUGGGGCCUGGGUCCUAGCCAUGGGGUCAUCCUCAGCUGCGUGGGCCAUGCCAACCACAUACGAAUCACUUGCUACAAGCAGCACCACACAACCUCCUGUCUGGACAAGACCCUGCACCCUGCAGACUGAAGAUGCACCCUGAUUUCCCAGGUCACACGGGGAAGUGUGGAUCUGAUAAUGGACUAAGUGCGACAUCUUUAAAACAUCUCAUGUGUUUUAUUUUAAAAUGAACAAUACCAAGUCAUGGGGAAGGAGUAAAACACUGCUGCCUGCUACAGUUCCCCUCUUGCUCCAAGGGCAUGGACGGCCCAGAUGGGGGACCUGCUCCCGGCCUGGGUGCCAUAGCCUCACCUAGAUGCAAGAGCACAGGCUUUGUUCUCCAGCGAUCUGUCCAACAGCAGCAUCACCCUGGGGCUCGGGCCCUGGGCUUUUCUGUCUGCUGCUGGGGCUGAGAAACAGCAGAUAGGCAGCGAGGCUGGUGGCUGCCCAGGCUGGCCGUGUCCAACACCAGAGGAUGAGGCAGAGUCUGAGAGGGGGUCGUGGCUGGGUCACCUGGUCCCAGAUGGCGCUCACUCCUCCCUGUGGGGGCCGCUUGGCUGCACUGCCCUUGGAGGCAUGGUGCUUUGCCCACCCAAUGGAUAGCAUGGCUUUGUGCUUCCUCCCCUUGCAGGAGGCGGUGUGCCUGGGGUCCUCCCUUUCUCCCUGCUCCUUAGAGGAGGCCCCUUUUUGCUGUGUGACCUUCAGUGGGCACUUAGGGUCAUUGCUGAGGGCUUGCCCCCACCCAGCAAUGUGAAACAAAGAGUGCCAUUUGGAUAGUUUUCAAACUUAACCCCGUGCCCUCCCCAUUUUGACUUGAAAAUUCCUGAGGACGGGAUCCAAAUGGCCGAAUAGCAAGAGCUCUGGAUUGCAGUUCCCAGCGAAAACGCAGAGGCCCCUGCAGGUGAUCCCCAGGCAAGCAGGGUCUGGAGUGGACCCUGCAGUCCUACAGCAGAGGGGCCUAACUGUUAGAAGGAAUACUAAGAAACAGAAAGAAAUAACUUCAUCAUCAACAAACAGGACAUCCACUCAGAGACCCCAUCUGAAAGUCACCAACUACAAACACCACAGGGAGAUAAAUCCACAAAGAUGGGAAGAAACCAGCAUAAAAAGGAUGAAAACACCCAAAACCAGAAUGCCUCUCCUCCUCCAAGGGAUCACAACUCCUCACCAGCAAGGGAACAAGACUGGAUGGAGAAUGAGUCUGAUGAAUUGACAAACAGGCUUCAGAAGGUGGGUAAUAAGAAACUUCUCUGAGCUAAUGGUACAUGUUUUAGGCCAAUGCAAAGAAACUAAAAACCUGUAAAAAAGGUUUGACGAAAUGCUAAUGAGAAUAAACAGCUUAGAGAGGAAUAUAAAUGAAUUGAU
rnacentral:lncRNA from 13 species